rnacentral:rRNA from 1 species
UAUACCGUGAAACUGCGAAUGGCUCAUUAAAUCAGUUAUCGUUUAUUUGAUAGUACCUUACUACUUGGAUAACCGUGGUAAUUCUAGAGCUAAUACAUGCUAAAAACCCCAACUUCGGAAGGGGUGUAUUUAUUAGAUAAAAAACCAAUGCCCUUCGGGGCUCUUUGGUGAUUCAUAAUAACUUAACGAAUCGCAUGGCCUUGCGCCGGCGAUGGUUCAUUCAAAUUUCUGCCCUAUCAACUUUCGAUGGUAGGAUAGUGGCCUACCAUGGUAUCAACGGGUAACGGGGAAUUAGGGUUCUAUUCCGGAGAGGGAGCCUGAGAAACGGCUACCACAUCCAAGGAAGGCAGCAGGCGCGCAAAUUACCCAAUCCCGACGCGGGGAGGUAGUGACAAUAAAUACUGAUACAGGGCUCUUUUGGGUCUUGUAAUUGGAAUGAGUACAAUUUAAAUCCCUUAACGAGGAACAAUUGGAGGGCAAGUCUGGUGCCAGCAGCCGCGGUAAUUCCAGCUCCAAUAGCGUAUAUUAAAGUUGUUGCAGUUAAAAAGCUCGUAGUUGAACCUUGGGCCUGGCUGACCGGUCCGCCUCACCGCGUGCACUGGUUCGGCCGGGCCUUUCCUUCUGGGGAUCCGCAUGCCCUUCACUGGGCGUGUCGGGGAACCAGGACUUUUACUUUGAAAAAAUUAGAGUGUUCAAAGCAGGCCUUUGCUCGAAUACAUUAGCAUGGAAUAAUGGAAUAGGACGUGCGGUCCUAUUUUGUUGGUUUCUAGGACCGCCGUAAUGAUUAAUAGGGAUAGUCGGGGGUAUCAGUAUUCAAUUGUCAGAGGUGAAAUUCUUGGAUUUAUUGAAGACUAACUACUGCGAAAGCAUUUACCAAGGAUGUUUUCAUUAAUCAGUGAACGAAAGUUAGGGGAUCGAAGACGAUCAGAUACCGUCGUAGUCUUAACCGUAAACGAUGCCGACUAGGGAUCGGGCGAUGUUUUUAUUUUGACUCGCUCGGCACCUUACGAGAAAUCAAAGU